AUGGCACCAAACUCACAGUUCUGGCUAGAAUCCUCUUGGUUUUCUGUCUGUGAGGAUGUGGUGUGCUCUGGUGCCUAUGCUGCCUACUUUGGAGAGGGAACUAAGCUAACAGUUCUGGAUCCAAACAUCAAAGUCACUGAACCCACAGUGAAAGUCCUCGCACCCUCCGCUAAGGAGUGUGAAGAUAGAAACAAGAAGAAGAAGAAGACCCUAGUGUGUGUCGCCACCCGCUUCUACCCCGACCACGUCACGGUCUUCUGGCAAGUCAACAACGUCAACAGAACUGAAGGUGCCGGGACCGACAACAGGGCCUUGUGGGAUGAAGAUGGUUUAUACAGUAUCACCAGCAGACUGAGAGUCCCAGCCAAGGAAUGGCACAAACCAGAGAACAGAUUCACCUGCAAUGUCAGCUUUUACAAUGGGACUGACAAUAUAAAAGUGAAUGACACCAUUAGUGGAGAUCUCAAAGGUCAAAGUGGGGAAGAGAUAACGACAGAUUACUAUGUGAAGAGCACCCAGACUGCCAAGCUGGCCUACAGCAUCUUCAUCGCUAAGAGUACCUUCUAUGGCCUGGUCGUCAUGGUUAUGAUUUGGAAGUUCCAGGUGAGUUCACUGCAAAUAUGAUAAAGGUUCAUCACACAGCCAUCUCUCUCCUCUUCUAUCUCUGCCUUGUGCGGAAGGAGUCCCAGAUCAGUUUAGUACGGUCUUGCCAACUCCUAUGGUCAGGGUGACAGUGACCACACAAACAGAUCCCACUGGACACACCACGUCAUUUCAACGUGGAUCAUUGGGAAAUACUUGGUUUAGACGUUGAUCAAUGAGAUUACAAUUGAUAUUCACCCAAUCAAAAAGACAGCCAAAAGUUAGUCGAAUUUCCAGUGUGUUAUCCCUGUGAUUUCAACCAUCUAAAAGCACGAACAUGUUCAAAUGGAAAACAACAAUGUCUGAUUUCUGAUUUAGUUGUCAACCAAAUGUCUAUCACUGCUCUUUCAACCAUCUAAAAGCACAACACAGUUCAAAUGGGGAUACACUGUCAGAUAUUGAAUCCUUUAUAGAACAGAUUAAUGUGUUAUCACUGGGCUUCAUCUCAUAGCACAACCACAUGAGCUGGAUUGCAGUUGAGAGUUACAUUAUAGCACACGGUACAAGGGAUCAAUGCCAUUUGAGAUUCUAUUUUGAUUUUAAGAGGAGAUCUCUCAACAGUCUGUCCCACGAUAAGCACAGAGGUCAUAAUCAGUGAGAAAUAGCAUAGCGAAGCGUGACUGCGUUAAAACCUGGGAUGGAAGACAGAUGAACUCUCCAGUAGGAGGGGCUGCCCAGCAUAAUGUUUUGUUUCUGAUAGUGACCCUGACUUUGAAUAUCUGAUAUUGUUUAAAAUCGAUCAAAAUUCAACAUAUUUUGUCAAUGUUGAAAUUAGUUUACCAUCAUGACACAAUCCUGUGAUUUAAA